GAUUAGGUACUCAUUAUUCAUAGACGUAAUUUUCAGGAAUAAGUAUCUACGUCACUGUAUCUCUGGUCCUAAUAUUUUGUCGUGAAAAAUAACUGGUCUGAACUGAAAAAGUAUCAUAUGGAGCAUCAAAUGAAGUAACUUGUGAAAAGUAUUCAAUUAUCUUUUUCCUAGAUAGAGUGUUGAACGUAUAUCUUGAUAAAAAAAAAAGAGAAGGCCGCAAUUCGCAAAUGAAAAACGAGCUCAUUACCACUGUUAUUAAAGAUGUCAAUUUUCUCAAAAAGAUGAUGAUGAAACGAAUUUAAUAAUUCCUAUCAGUUGAGAUGGAGAGUUAAAACGAAGGUGAAGCAUGUAUAUUAGCGAUGUUUAUUUUGAGUGUCCUUGACAGCGCCCUUGCAACGUGCUAACCCGACCCUGGUGCCAAAACGAAUAGUAUAAUUGGACAACAAUACAGCCUGAAAACUGGCUGCCUCACUUUGAUCUGUAUAGUAGGACUUGUAAUAUUUCAUAUAAUUAGUUUGAAGUGACACAUCCGAGAGAUGGCGACGUAAGCUGCGCAUCUCUCGCCAGAUCGGAACCACAGUAUCUCUAAAGGAUUAACCCUCAUCGAUCUCCGACAAAUGUUUGAAGAAGGAUUUCAACAGUGUUGACAAGGACGAGGAGAUUUUAUUCUUAUUAUUAUUAUUAUCUGCGAUCAAUCAUGAUUUUUCAUUUAGGGGAAUAAAGUUUAAAAAAAAAUGUUA